rnacentral:rRNA from 1 species
GUUCCGCCACCCCACCUGACCCCAUGCCGAACUCAGAAGUGAAACGCCGUAGCGCCGAUGGUAGUGUGGGGUCUCCCCAUGCAAGAGUAGGG